rnacentral:tRNA from 1 species
GCCCGGGUGGCGAAACUGGUAGACGCAUGGGACUUAAAAUCCCAUGGGAGGCAACUCCCGUGCAGGUUCGAAUCCUGCCCUGGGCAUCA